UCCUACGGGGGGCAGCAGUAGGGAAUCUUCCACAAUGGGCGAAAGCCUGAUGGAGCAACGCCGCGUGGGUGAAGAAGGUCUUCGGAUCGUAAAACCCUGUUGUUAGAGAAGAAAGUGCGUGAGAGUGACUGUUCACGUUUCGACGGUAUCUAACCAGAAAGCCACGGCUAACUACGUGCCAGCAGCCGCGGUAAUACGUAGGUGGCAAGCGUUAUCCGGAUUUAUUGUGCGUAAAGGGAACGCAGGCGGUCUUUUAAGCCUGAUGUGACAGCCUUCGGCUUUACCGGAGUCGU
rnacentral:rRNA from 1 species